AACAUGUCUUUUUGAUAAUAAUUUAAAGUCUAAUCUGCCCACUGAAUUAUUUUAAAGGGCUGCAGUAUAUUGACUGUACAAAGGUAGCAUAAUCAUUAGUCUUUUAAUUGAAGACUUGUAUGAAUGAUUUGAUGAAAUAUAAACUGUCUCUUUAUUAAUAAUAGAAAUUAAUUUUUUAGUUAAAAAGCUAAAAUUUAUUUAAAAGACGAGAAGACCCUAUAGAGUUUUAUAUUUAAAUUUAUAUUAAUUCUUUAUAAAAUUUAUAUUUAAUAUUUUUUUAAUUAUUUUAUUGGGGUGAUAGAAAAAUUUAUUAAACUUUUUUUAAAAUUUUUACAUUAAUAUAUGAAAUUUUGAUCCAUAAUUUAUGAUUAAAAGAUUAAAUUACCUUAGGGAUAACAGCGUAAUUUUUUUUUUUAGUUCUUAUAAGAAAAAAAGUUUGCGACCUCGAUGUUGGAUUAAGAUAAAAUUUAAAUGCAAAAGUUUAAA
rnacentral:rRNA from 1 species